UACACUUUAGUAUAAUAUGUAUAGAAAUUUUUGAUAUUUCUGGUAAUAGAAUUAUUUAUUAAGUGUAU
rnacentral:tRNA from 1 species